CUCUCAGACACCACAGUCCAGGAGAGUCUGACAAGGUGGCUUUAUUCCUGAAACUCAGGGACCUGAUCCAACGCGCUGGAAAUUGUGUUUCUUUUCCCAGCUCAGGCUAUUCACCUCAGGCCCCUGUUUUCCUGUCUCCUCCCCAGGAAGGUUGUGAUAAAAAUCAAUGACAUCAUGUCUCACUGGGCCCCAGCCACCCUUCAGGAAGCAGGUGCUUUGGCUGAGUGGAGGCUGGGGCAUUUUUCUGCUGCGCUGGCCUGCAUCUGCCUUUCGAGUAGCCCUAGAGGCCUAACGCUUGAGGUCACCUUCAUGGUUUUUCCAGUGACCUUGGCCAUUAAUGAGCUCCCACCGCUUCCCCAGCUGCAGCUGUAUUAUAGCGCCAGAGUCUUCCAAGCCUGCAGGUUGUGCCAAGCCUGGAGGGAUUUGCAAAAGAAACAUUUGCCUACACCAAGAUCAUGAAGAUGUUUUCUUCUAGAGGAUUUCUAGUUUUAGCUCUUUAUGUUUAAAUUGAGGGAAACUAAAUGUAUGGCCUUAAGGAGCUGUUCCAGCCUGAGACUAUACACCAGCAGAAAGAAACUCACAGCACUGAAAAUAUUGUUCUCCGCCCUCCCUCAUCCCUCUUCCUUCUGAAUGGGAAAAAAGAGUAAGAAGCUUUUCCCUCCAGCUGAAAGCAAAGGAGUACUCUAGCCCUCUGUGAUAGCUGAUGGCAGCAUCUUUGGUGGCUCUCCCAGAGAGGCUGCUCUCUUUGCUGGAAUUUGCCUUGUUCUCUCCUCACUGCUGAAGCACUGUCACUGCGUCCUAAAAAAACACCACAGUAUCCGUAAGACGUUGCCUGUCAUUGGAGGUUUGCUCCUUCUCUCUAUCUCAGACAGGAUUCAAUGAAGAAAACAGAAGCCACUCAGCGCAAGAACAGACUCAUACAGGAUCACUGCAUGUGGAAUCAGGUAAGACAAGGUCAUACUGGAGUAGGAAAGGGGUUAAUCCAAUAUGACUGGUGUCCUUAAAAAAUGGGAAAUUCAUCGAGGGCAGAUUGGAUAAAGGAAAUGUUGUACAUAUACACUAUGGAAUACUUCACAGCUAUAAAAAAGGAGAAGAUUAUGUCCUUUGCAGGUACAGGAAUGGAGCUAGAGGUCAUCAUCCUUAGCAAACUAAUGCAGGAACAGAAAACCAAAUGCCACAUGUUCUCACUUAUAAGUUGAAGGUAAAUAAUGAGAACACGUGGACACAUAGAGGGGAAUAGCACACACUGGGGCCUACUUGAGGGUAGAAGGUGGGAGGAAGGAGAGGAUCAGAAAAAACGAUUGGUUACUAGGCUUACUACCUGGUUGAUGAAAUAAUCUGUACAGCAAACCCCAGUAUCAAGAGUUUACCUAUAUAACAAAACUGCACAUGUACCCCUGAACCUAAAAUAAAAGCUUUUUAUAAAAAGAAAAGAAAAAGGGCUGGGCAUGAUGGCUCACACCUGUAAUCCCAGGACUUUAGGACACCCAGGUGGGUGGACUGCUAAGCUCAGGAGUUCAAGACCAGCCUAGGCAACAUUGCGAAACCCCGUCUCUACAAAAAUUAGCCAGGCAUGGUGGCAUGUACCUGAAGUCCCAUCUACUUGCAGGGCUGAGGCCAGAGGAUCGCUUGAACCCAGGAGGUGGAGAUUGUAGUGAGUUGUAUUUGUGCCACUGCACUCCAGCCUCGUUGACAGAGCAAGGGCAAGACCUUUUCUUUAAAAAAAAAAAAAGAAAGAAAGAAAAGAAAAAGAAAAGACAAGAAAAGAAAAGAAAAGGAUAUAAUCAGCCAAAUUCAAAAUGUGUGAAAUGCUACAAGCUUCCAGGACUGUGAAACAAGACAUUUCUUUGGUUCAAGCCACUCCCUUAGUGCACAUUGUUAUGGCAGCCAUGGAAAACCAUCCACAGAGGGUCAGUUCCUAUGGAGGUGGGCCCUGGGCCCAGCUGCUGCAGGUGGCCAGGAAGGAGCCUGGGAGGAUGACGGGGUUCCUGAUCUGAUAGAACUGGGCUGUGACUAGGCAGAACCCUGUUCCACCACACACACCCCAGUGGAGGACGUUCUGUAUCUGUGAUGAAUGACCCCUGCAUACAUUAUAUCUUUCAGUAAAAACAGUGGUGUUUCAGUAGUGUUACUAGCUAAGCUGCUUAACUCUCACAUUACAGACGUCAGUGAAGCCCCUUGGUAGGUAGUGUCUAAAAUUAGAUUUAUCUGCUUAUUUACACAAUUAUACUCUCAUGAGUUUGAAUGUUGGGGAAAGAUCAAGAAAAAGACCAGAUCACUAGAUGGCAAUAGCACACAAGAGCUUUAUUUGGAUGAAGCUUGGACAGAAUGCAUGGAAGGGGAAAGUCCCUUGCAGCAGAAGACCUUCCAGAGGCAGUGGCAGGGCCACCACCAGAAGAAAAGGGCAAGGACACUCCCAGGGGAGAGGAGGAUCAGAGAGGAGGUUACAGGUCUAAGAGAUGUCACAGGUCUAGAAGAAAAGAAAAGGAGCCAGGUGCAGUGGCUCACACCUGUAAUCCCAGCACUUUGGGAGGCCCAGGCGGGCAGAUUGCUGAGUUCAGGAGUUUGAGACCAGCCUAGGCAAACAUGGUGAAACCCCAUCUCUAAAAAAAGAUUUAAAAAUUAACCAGGCCUGGUGGCAUGUACCUGAAGUCUCAUUUACUUGGGGGGCUAAGGCUGGAGGAUCGUUUGAACCCAAGAGGGUUCAUGGUGGGGAGCAUCAUGGUGAGGAGUCUCUGGGUCAGAGAGCUCCAAAGGACAGCAGCCAUUUGGGGUCUUUUGUAGCCCUGAGGUUCGUCUUACCUAUGGUGAGAGGGUGUCGGGUGUAGUUUUGCAAAUUAUCGAAGCAGGCAGGCUCUAAAUGGGCAAAUAAUAUUUGGCCUACAUUUAAAGCAAUUGGAUGUGCAAGAAUUUGAGUUUGGUGCUGGCAGGCUUGAGUUAACGGUCCUGGGCUGUGGUGUGGAAGUAAACAGCAUGGGGGCCAAUACACAGGGGCUGUCUUGAACUCGUUCAUACAAUCCAUUUAUAACCUGUUUAUAACUUGUUUAUAACCCAUUUAUACCACAUACCCCUAAAGCAAAUACCUAGCAGAUAGCAUGCAGGGCCUAUUUGCCUGGCCUCCUUCAAUGGCAUCACAUUCUCCACCACCACGAUGGUUAAUAUGGACGAGCCCUAGCAGCUGCCCAGUGAAGUCCACACGCUACUGCCCAAACCAGCUCAAGUCCUUAGUUGUCAUGAAAAUAAUGUGAGUUCCCACAGCCGUAAAAGGGAAAGCAGCAAGAGCCACAUGAGCAUCCCCGGAACCCUGGGAACAGUCAUCAGUGUCAUCUUCAGGGUCAUGUCCCUACAAGCAGUUCUCAGGCUCCUGCUGAGGGUCAGAACAGAGCCGAAGUCACAGGAUAUCAAAAAUGGAUAAGCCCAACCUCAGCUCGCAGAGGAAUUGCUCAGCUGACAGAUGAUUGUGUUAUCUCAGUGAAGCCAGAUGACAAUGUACUUGGCCAACGGAACAUCUUGGUCAAUGGAUCUCCAAGUUGGUUAUAAAAUUAAAGCAAAAUAAUGCCAUUAUAUGUAAGAUGUCAUUGAUUGUAAGAUGCUCCUUUAUUUGAUGUACCACUAAUAAAUAAAAACACUGACAUUUAAACAAUGACAAUUGCAUAACACAUCUGCUUGUUCAAUGUUAAAUAUGAAAAAAUGUGC
rnacentral:lncRNA from 1 species